rnacentral:rRNA from 1 species
UACAGAGACCUCAAGCGUUAUCCGGAAUCAUUGGGCGUAAAGCGUACCGAUAGGUGGUUGUACAAGUCAGAAGUGAAAUCUCCGAGCUUAACUCGGAAUCUGUCUUUUGAAACUGUACGACUAGAGGGGCAAAGAGGAAGCUGGAACGAACGGUGUAGUAGUGAAAUGCGUUGAUAUCGUUCGGAACACCAAUAGCGUAGGCAGGCUUCUGGGUGCCACCUGACACUGCUAGGACGAAAGCGUGGGGAGCGAAUGGG